GACGAACGCUGGCGACGUGCUUAACACAUGCAAGUCGAACGGAAAGGCCCUGCUUUUGUGGGGUGCUCGAGUGGCGAACGGGUGAGUAACACGUGAGUAACCUGCCCUUGACUUUGGGAUAACUUCAGGAAACUGGGGCUAAUACCGGAUAGGAGCUCCUGCUGCAUGGUGGGGGUUGGAAAGUUUCGGCGGUUGGGGAUGGACUCGCGGCUUAUGAGCUUGUUGGUGGGGUAGUGGCUUACCAAGGCUUUGACGGGUAGCCGGCCUGGGAGGGUGACCGGGCACAUUGGGACUGAGAUACGGCCCAGACUCCUACGGGAGGCAGCAGUGGGGAAUAUUGCACAAUGGGCGGAAGCCUGAUGCAGCAACGCCGCGUGCGGGAUGACGGCCUUCGGGUUGUAAACCGCUUUCGCCUGUGACGAAGCGUGAGUGACGGUAAUGGGUAAAGAAGCACCGGCUAACUACGUG
rnacentral:rRNA from 1 species